rnacentral:tRNA from 1 species
GGGGUUGAAGCUCAGUGGUAGAGCACUUGCCCCGCAUGCAUGAGGUCCUGGGUUUAAUCCCCAGUACCCCA